CCUACGGGGUGCUGCAGUGGGGAAUAUUGGGCAAUGGGGGAAACCCUGAUGGUGCGACGCCGCGUGGGGGAAUGAAGGUCUUCGGAUUGUAAACCCCUGUCAUGUGGGAGCAAAUUAAAAAGAUAGUACCACAAGAGGAAGAGACGGCUAACUCUGUGCCAGCAGCCGCGGUAAUACAGAGGGCUCAAGCGUUGUUCGGAAUCACUGGGCGUAAAGCGUGCGUAGGCUGUUUCGUAAGUCGUGUGUGAAAGGCGCGGGCUCAACCCGCGGACGGCACAUGAUACUGCGAGACUAGAGUAAUGGAGGGGGGACCGGAAUUCUCGGUGUAGCAGUGAAAUGCGUAGAUAGCGAGAGGAACACUCGUGGCGAAGGCGGGUUCCUGGACAUUAACUGACGCUGAGACACGAAGGCCAGGGGAGCGAAAGGGAUUAGAUACCCCAGUAGUC
rnacentral:rRNA from 1 species